GACGAACGCUGGCGGCGUGCUUAACACAUGCAAGUCGAACGGAAAGGCCCCAGCUUGCUGGGGUACUCGAGUGGCGAACGGGUGAGUAACACGUGGGUGAUCUGCCCUGCACUCUGGGAUAAGCCUGGGAAACUGGGUCUAAUACCGGAUAGGACCGUGCUUUAGUGUGUGCGGUGGAAAGUUUUUCGGUGCAGGAUGAGCCCGCGGCCUAUCAGCUUGUUGGUGGGGUAAUGGCCUCCCAAGGCGGCGACGGGUAGCCGGCCUGAGAGGGUGUACGGCCACAUUGGGACUGAGACACGGCCCAGACUCCUACGGGAGGCAGCAGUGGGGAAUAUUGCACAAUGGGCGCAAGCCUGAUGCAGCGACGCCGCGUGGGGGAUGACGGCCUUCGGGUUGUAAACCCCUUUCGGCAGGGACGAAGCUUUUGUGACGGUACCUGCAUAAGAAGCACCGGCUAACUACGUG
rnacentral:rRNA from 1 species